GACGAACGCUGGCGGCGUGCCUAAUACAUGCAAGUAGAACGCACAGUUUAUACCGUAGCUUGCUACACCAUAGACUGUGAGUUGCGAACGGGUGAGUAACGCGUAGGUAACCUGCCUGGUAGCGGGGGAUAACUAUUGGAAACGAUAGCUAAUACCGCAUAAUAUUGAUUAUUGCAUGAUAAUUAAUUGAAAGGUGCAAUUGCACCACUACCAGAUGGACCUGCGUUGUAUUAGCUAGUAGGUGAGGUAACGGCUCACCUAGGCGACGAUACAUAGCCGACCUGAAGGGGUGAUGGGCCACACUGGGACUGAGACACGGCCCAGACUCCUGCGGGGGGAAGCAGUGGGGAAUUUUCGGCAAGGGACGAAAGGCUGACCGGGAAACGCCGGGUAGGGGAAAAAGGUUUUGGGAUAGAAAAGCUUUUUUGUAAGGGAAAAGCGGGUGUGGAGGGGGAAAGUCCCAACUGGGAAGGGAUUUUACAAAAAAGGAGCGCCGAAUUACGG
rnacentral:rRNA from 1 species